CAGGCUGCAACCCGCCUGCAUGAAGUUGGAAUCGCUAGUAAUCGCGGAUCAGCAUGCCGCGGUGAAUACGUUCCCGGGCCUUGUACACACCGCCCGUCACACCAUGAGAGUCGGGAACACCCGAAGUCCGUAGCCUGACCGCAAGGGGGCGCGGCCGAAGGUGGGUUCGAUAAUUGGGGUGAAGUCGUAACAAGGUACC
rnacentral:rRNA from 1 species